ACAACUCUCGGCAACUGAUAUCUCGGCUCUCGCAUCGAUGAAGAACGUAGCGAAAUGCAAUACCUGGUGUGAAUUGCAGAAUCCCGCAAACCAUCAAGUCUUUGAAUGCAAGUUGUGCCCGAGGCCACUCGGCCGAGGGCACGCCUGCAUGGGCAUCACGCCAAAACAUGCUCCCAACCACCCUCAUCGGGAAUCGGGAUGCGGCAUCUGGUCCCUCGUCUCGCAAGGGGCGGUGGACCGAAGACAAGGGUGCCGGUGUACCGCGCCGGACACAGCGCAUGGUGGGCAUCCUCGCUUUAUCAACGCAGUGCGUCCGAUGCGCAGCCGGAAUUAUGGCCUAAGAACGACCCAGCAAACGAAGCGCACGUCGCUUCGACCACGACCCCAGGUCAGGCGGGACUACCCGCUGAGUUUAAGCAUAUAAAUAAGCGGAGGAGAAGAAACUUACAAGGAUUCCCCUAGUAACGGCGAGCGAACCGGGAGCAGCCCCGCUUGAGAAUCUGGCGGUUGUGCGGUCCGAAUAGUAGUCUGGAGAGGCGUCCUCAGCGACGGACCGGGUUCAUGUCCCCUGGAAAGGGGCGCCUGGGAGGGUGAGAGCCCCGUCCGGCCCGGACCCUGUCGCCCCACGAGGCGCCGUCAACGAGUCGGGUUGUUUGGGAAUGCAGCCCAAAUCGGGCGGUAGACUCCGUCCAAGUCUAAAUACAGGCGAGUGACCGAUAGCGAACAAGUACCGUGAGGGAAAGAUGAAAAGGACUUUGAAAAGAGAGUCAAAGAGUGCUUGAAAUUGUCGGGAGGGAAGCGGAUGGGGGCCGGCGAUGCGCCCCGGCCUUAUGCGGAACGACUCUUGCUGGUCCGUCGCUAGGCUCGGGGUGUGGACUGUUGUCGGCCGCGUCGGCGGCUAAUGCUCGGGGGCCCUAGGUGUCCCCGCUAGCCGUCGUCAGUGCGCCCGGACCCCGCACGCCGAAAGGCGUGUCCCUCGGAGCACUGCGCUGCAACGGCGUGCGGGAUCCGCAUCCAACCCGUCUUCAAACACGGACCAAGGAGUUUGACGUGUGUGCGAGUCGACGGGUUCUGAAACCUGGGUUGCGCAGGGAAGCUGGCUAGCGGGACGCCCUCACGGGCUGCACCGCUGGCCGACCCUGAUCUUCCGUGAAGGGUUCGAGUUGGAGCACGCCUGCCAGGACCCGAAAGAUGGUGAACUAUGCCUGAGCGGGGCGAAGCCAGAGGAAACUCUGGUGGAGGCUCGAAGCGAUAUUGACGUGCAAAUCGUUCGUCUAACUUGGGUAUAGGGCGAAAGACUAAUCGAACCAUCUAGUAGCUGGUUCCCUCCGAAGUUUCACGCAGGAUAGCUGUAGCCCAUUAUGAGUUCUAUCAGGUAAAGCCAAUGAUUAGAGGCAUUGGGGACGCAACUUCCUCGACCUAUUGUCAAACAUUAAAUAGGUAGGAUGGCGUGGCUGCUUCGGUGAGCCGUGCCACGGAAUCGGGUGCUCCAAGUGGGCCAUUUUUGGUAAGCAGAACUGGCGAUGCGGGAUGAACCGGAAGUCGGGUUACGGUGCCCAACUAUGUGCUAACCUAGAACCCACCAAGGGGGUUGGUCGAUUAAGACAGCAGGACGGUGGUCAUGGAAGUCGAAAUCCGCUAAGAAGUGUGUAACAACUCACCUGCCGAAUCAACUAGCCCCGAAAAUGGAUGGUGCUGAAGUGCGCGACCAACACCUGGCAAUCUGGGCGAGCGCCAUGCCCCGAUGAGUAGGAGGACGCGGCGGCCGCUGCAAAACCCGGGGCGCGAGCCCGGGCAGAGCGGCCGUCGGUGCAGAUCUUGGUGGUAGUAGCAAAUAUUCAAAUGAGAACUUUGAAGGCCGAAGAGGAGGAAGGUUCCAUGUGAAUGGCACUUGCACAUGGGUAAGCUGAUCCUGAGGGACGGGGUAACCCCGGCAGAUAGAGCGAUCACACGCAUCCCCCGAAAGGGAAUUGGGUUAUGAUUUCCCGAGCCGGGAUGUGGUGGUUGACCGCGACGCUAGGAUGUCCGGAGACGCCGGCGGGGGCCUCGGGACGAGUUAUCUUUUCUAAUUAAGGGCCUGCCAACCCUGGAAACGGUUCAGCCGGAGGUAGGGUCCAGUGGCUGGAAGAGCACGGCACGUCGCGCGGUGUCCGGUGCGCCCCCGGAGGCCCAUGAAAAUCCGGAUGACCGAGUACCGUUCACGCCCGGUCGUACUCAUAACCGCAUCAGGUCUCCAAGGUGAACAGCAUGUGGCCAAUGGAACAAUUGUUGGGGAUCGUAGCAGAAUUUUAAAAUUUUCCUACGCUCACCAAGAUCCAUCUAUGGAGUAUACUAGCAACGAGGGGAAAGGAGUGCAUCUACAUACCCUUGUAGAUCGCGAGCGGAAGCGUUCCAAUGAACGGGGUUGAUGGAGUCGUACUCGCCGUGAUCCAAAUCACCGAUGACCGAGUGUCGAACGGACGGCACCUCCGCGUUCAACACACGUACGGAGCAGCGACGUCUCCUCCUUCUUGAUCCAGCAAGGGGGAAGGAGAGGUUGAUGGAGAUCCAGCAGCACGACGGCGUGGUGGUGGAUGUAGCGGGAUCUCGGCAGGGCUUCACCGAGCUUCUGCGAGAGGAAGAGGUGUUGCAGGGGAGGAGGGAGCCGCCAAAGGCUGUAGUACUGCUGCCCUCCCUCCCCCCCUUUAUAUAGGCCCCAUGGUAAGGGGGGCGCCGGCCGAGACCCAUCUGCAUGGGGGGGCGGCGGCCAGGGGGGAGACUUGCCCCGCAAGGCAAGUGGGCCGCCCCCCCCACCCUAGGGUUUCCAACCCUAGGCGCAGGGGGGAGGCCCAUGGGGGGCGCCCCAGCCCACUAAGGGCUGGUUCCCUUCCCACUUCAGCCCAUGGGGCCCUCCGGGAUAGGUGGACCCACCCGGUGGACCCCCGGGACCCUUCUGGUGGUCCCGGUACAAUACCGGUGACCCCCGAAGCUUUCCCGGUGGCCGAAACUUGACUUCCUAUUUAUAAUUCUUCAACUCCGGACCAUUCCGGAACUCCUCGCGACGUCCGGGAUCCGGGACUCCGAACAACUUUCGGGUUUCCGCAUACUCAUAUCUCUACAACCCUAGCGUCACCGAACCUUAAGUGUGUAGACCCUAUGGGUUCGGGAGACAUGCAGACAUGACCGAGACGCCUCUACAGUCAAUAACCAACAGCGGGAUCUGGAUACCCAUGUUUGCUCCCACAUGUUCCACGAUGAUCUCAUCGGAUGAACCACGAUGUCGAGGAUUCAAUCAA
rnacentral:rRNA from 1 species